GAUAUGUCUCUUUGUCUUUGUCUUUUUAGUUCACUCAGAAAAAAAAGCACUUUAAUGCAAGUUUCCAAUAAGGCUUUGAAAAAAAUCAAUCUUCAAUCCUCACAUAUCAGAAACCUCAGAAAAGAAAACACAAUGAGAUGUUUCAGAUCAAAUACUCCAAGAACUAAACCACCACCACCUUCGUACGGACAUCAAGGCACCAUUCAUCACCAAACCGUAAGAGAAGAAGUGCUACUACAGAUUCAGGGAUGCAGAGCCCAUCUCAUCGACGGAUCCGAAGCGGUGGAGCUCGCCGCCGGAGACUUCGAGCUUGUACAGGUCUCAGAAAAUGGCGUAGCUCUAGGUAUGGUCGUGAGGAUCGGAAACGACCUACAGUGGCCGGUGAUUAAAGACGAGCCAGUGGUGAAACUCGACGCUCGUGACUACCUCUUCACGCUUCCGGUGAAAGACGGAGACCCACUCAGCUACGGCGUCACAUUCUUCCCUCGAGACCCAAACGACGUUGUUUUCGUGAACAGCCUCGAGUUGCUAGACGACUUCUUGAGAGAGAACUCGUGUUUCUCUUCUUCGUCUUCUUCUUCUUCGCGUGUUAACAAUGGAAUCGAUUGGAAAGAGUUUGCGCCUAGGAUUGAAGAUUAUAACAAUGUCGUGGCUAAAGCCAUUGCUGGAGGGACAGGGCAUAUCAUUAGAGGGAUGUUCAAAUGCAGUAAUGCUUACACUAAUCAGGUUAACAAAGGAGGUGAAACUAUGAUUACGAAGGCUGAGAAGAAGAGUGGUGCGUCGUCGAAAAGAAAUGCGACCACGAACAAGAACCAAAUCAACAAGAAUCUUCAACGAGUGAGGAAACUUUCCAGAGCUACUGAGAAACUGAGCAAGACUAUGUUGAAUGGUGUGGGAGUGGUGAGUGGUUCGGUGAUGGCUCCUAUUGUGAAGUCAAAGCCAGGAAAAGCUUUUUUCUCAAUGGUUCCAGGGGAAGUUCUCCUGGCUUCAGUUGAUGCUCUUAAUAAAAUACUAGAUGCUGCUGAAGCUGCAGAGAGACAAACUUUUUCUGCUACAUCCAAAGCUACAACUAGAAUGGUUAGCGAGAGGUAAGUUUCACUUGCAAAGUCUAACUCUAGAUCACAUUUAUGACUACUAUUGGGUGUAUAGUAUCUUGUAUAUAGGAGCUAAAUACGUGUACAUAAUACGGAUAUACAUAGUAGGAUACUGUACAGUUGGAGAUUAAUAUUAAUGUGAAAUAACUAUAGUUUAAUGAUUACAUCCUUAAACUAAUUAGUUUAAGGAUGUAAUCAUUAGUUUAAGGAUGUAAUCAUUAAACUAAUUGAACAGCGUGAGGUUUCAAUUGCUUCAGAUGUUUUCAAUUUUCCUUAAAUGAUUUGCAAAAGAACCCUUCUAUUAUAUUUGCCAUUGGCGUCCACGGUUGAGAUUAAUAAAUAUAAAUCAGUAUUAGUUCAAGUUGUGUGUUCACUUAGUACUUGUCAUUGUUUAUAUGAGUGCAUGCAUCCUCCUUCAAU